AACGAACGCUGGCGGCAUGCCUAACACAUGCAAGUCGAACGAGACCUUCGGGUCUAGUGGCGCACGGGUGCGUAACGCGUGGGAACCUGCCCUUAGGUUCGGAAUAACUCCCCGAAAGGGGUGCUAAUACCGGAUAAUGUCUUCGGACCAAAGAUUUAUCGCCUUUGGAUGGGCCCGCGUUGGAUUAGCUAGUUGGUAGGGUAAAAGCCUACCAAGGCAACGAUCCAUAGCUGGUCUGAGAGGAUGCUCAGCCACACUGGGACUGAGACACGACCCAGACUCCUACGGGAGGCAGCAGUGGGGAAUAUUGGACAAUGGGCGAAAGCCUGAUCCAGCAAUGCCGCGUGAGUGAUGAAGGCCUUAGGGUUGUAAAGCUCUUUUACCCGGGAUGAUAAUGACAGUACCGGGAGAAUAAGCUCCGGCUAACUCCGUG
rnacentral:rRNA from 1 species